rnacentral:rRNA from 1 species
UAGGGAAUAUUAGAAAUGGACGAAAGUCUGAUCUAGCAACACCGCGUGUGCGAUGAAGGCCUUCGGGUCGUAAAGCACUUUUUGGAAGGAAUAGGAAGGAAUGUACUUCCAGAAUAAGUCUCGGCUAACUACGUGCCAGUAGCCGCGGUAACACGUAGGAGGCAAACGUUAUCCGGAUUUACUGGGCGUAAAGCGCGUGUAGGUGGUACUGUAAGUAGGGCGUGAAAGCUCCUGGCUCAACUGGGAGAGGCCGUUCUAAACUACAGAACUAGAGGAUGGUAGAGGGAGGUGGAAUUCCAGGUGUAGCGGUGGAAUGCGCAGAUAUCGGGAGGAACACCGGUGGCGAAGGCGGCCUCCUGGACCAUUCCUGACACUCAGACGCGAAAGCUAGGGUAGCAAACG